UUUCCUUUGUUUCUGCUGCAGAUUCUCAUAUUUAGAUUAAAUCUUUUUCUGGUGCUGCCCUGGACAAAGGUCUUUCCUGCAUGUUGAUGAAGGCUGUUUCUGCUCUGCAUUGAUGUGUAAUUUUCCUUGGGAGUGCUUAAGGGAACCAGCGGAGUACAUUCCAAUCAGUAGCAUGAACCACAGAGAGUGCCCAGCAAUUGUUCUCUGUCGUGGUCAACGGGGGACGUGAAGGACCACGAGGAUCACUUUUGCUGGCUCCUUCCUCAGCACACACGGAGUACUGCUUGAGCAAAGGCACGGACAGCAUGAAAGGAGAGACCUCUGCCUCUGCCACGGAUCAAGUUACAGCCUUAAGCACAGAGUUCAGUUCACCUUACCAAGCCUCACGUUUUCUUUGCAAGACUUUGUAUGAAUGAAUACAAAGGAGUAAACAGUGAAAUACCCCCUCUGGGCUACCAAGAAUUUGAAUGAGCUCUUCUAAAAGGAAAUCUGCUACCUGACAUGUCUUGUACAGCACUUGAUUAAACACAACCAACUUGGGUGCAGAUUCUUAGCUGCAAUGUGUCUGGGUUUUGCCACCCUGUACUGCUGCACUUUUUCACCAAUGAUUGCAAGUGAAAAAAGAGGCCAGUGUUAAAAAAUCAGUGAUUCUGAGCAUGUAUGCAAGUAACUGCAAACUGUCUUAGCUUGGAACCAACUAUCUUCACUUAUCCAUUUGAAGAAACAAGGAAUUUAAGGCAUCUUUCAAAGGAAGAAGUUGACUCUUUUCUCCAUGGGCCUUCGUAGUGAGUAGCUCUGAUGAUGGGAGCUCCAUUCCUUUACACUUAUGGUGAUACAAGUAAGGAAGCAAUGAAGGCUGGCUUCCUGCCCCUUUUUAUUUGCAUUCCAGAAACCAUUUUUGCACCAUCUGUGAUCCUGUUGCAAAACCUACACGGGAAUAAAGAUUGCCUUCAGACUUCAUCGCAGAUAAGACCACACAUGGCUGAAGACAUGAAGAACGAGCUCCCUGGGGCCUUAUUCACAGAUGUAGCUAAGUCUCCUCCUCUUAAAGGUAACUAGCUGAUCAGCUGCUAUAAGGGCAGCUCCCCCAAUUCCUGCUCCCCACAUAACUGGGGAUCACAGGGAUGUGCUUCCUUUCCUUGCAGAGAGAGGAGCUUUUAAUGGUUGACCCUCUGCAAUACAUUAAUAGCUUUCCACACUCCCAGAAGAGAGAUAAAUUUGCUAUACAGACAUUUUGCUCCAGACCAGAACAACACAAUAAAUCACAAUGCUUUGUCAGGGACGGGGAUGUGAAUUGUGGUGCCUGGUCUAGGUGUUUCUCAGCAGCUUUCAAUAUAAUCUGCAAAGAAAAUGCCUUCCUGGAGUUGCCUCUACAAAGCCAUUCAGGCCAUUCACUGCCCAUGGGAAGCAUGUACUUCUCACAUCACCCUUCUUCUCCUCACAGUGCUUUGAUUUUGGUAGUAUGGCAAAACAACAGACCUAUCUCUUAUGCAGGCACAGCUUUUGCAUCUCUGUAUAGCAUGCAUCUUUCUGGCUUGUUUUCCAUCACAAGUCUUACAGAAGAGCUGCAGUUUCAAAGACUUUUACAAGGAAGCCUCAGGGCUUCUUUGCCAGACUUCAAUGGAUAUGUUUAGAGCAGAGUAUAUGGAGGUUGAACUGCCUGACUCACAUUAACAUUAGUAGAGUCAGAAAGCUAAAUGCCUGCGCACCAUUCUGGUGACGUACUCGCAGCAUCUGGCAAGUAGCCUACUGCCAUUUCUAAGUCCUUUUGGAUAUGAUGUUUCCUUCUUUGGUAUCAGGUUGGCAAAGUAAAACAGUGAUGGAUGGCCUACUUUCCUUCAGCUAAGACAUUCUGAAAAGUAAAAGAACUGGGAGGGCUCUCCCUGAAUUUUAACAAAGGACCUCCCACUUGCACAUGAAUUUACAUGAACUAGCAGCCUUACAAAAAUUAAAUUCCCCAUAUCAAACAGACAACAAACUGCUGUCAACCUAUUUGUUUAAUACAAAAGAGUAGGUUAGCAGUUACACAGGAUUCAUGGUCUCAAGAAAAUUCUAGGAUCUUUGGAUUAUAUGCGCUCUUUGAAAAUUACAGAUAAAGGAGGUACCUUUCAAACACGAGGCUAUUACAGAGAUGAAGCAAGUAGCCAACUUAAAAUUUAACCUGUAUUAAUAUUAAAAAAUCUUUCAUUCCCUGUUUAUGAACACCUGCAGUUUUAUCACAUACAUUUUCACUGGAAACAAUCUGUUAAAACUGUAAAAUUAUUAUAGUGUAGUCCCAUAGUAUGUCACACUGGCAGUACCUUUGAUCUCAGCCCCUGGGAAACAUUUUUUCAUAUGGGCAGCAGCAAAAACUGUAAAUACAAUGUUAAUACUGUUGAAGUAUUAAAUUUCUCUUUUAUUUUGAUGGCUGAAGUCUGAGUGCUUAUGCAAUACUACACGUCCCAUAUAAUAUGCUUUCAAGUUUCUGAACUUUCAAGAUAAUCUAGUGUUUGAGAUAAUGGACUGUCUUAGAUACUUUUAUAAUCGUGUUGCAAGUGAAAAAAAAGGACCUCUUAAUUUCUUUAAAAUCUGGGAAAAUAUACUUUGGUGAUAAAUCUUAAUUUCUCAACAUCUUGAUCCCCUCCUUAGCUACCAGAUGAUUCCCAACUUUUCUGCUUUAACCUGCUUAGAAACAACCUGUUGGCUAAAC